GAUGAACGCUGGCGGCGUGCCUAAUACAUGCAAGUCGAGCGAACAGACGAGGAGCUUGCUCCUCUGACGUUAGCGGCGGACGGGUGAGUAACACGUGGAUAACCUACCUAUAAGACUGGGAUAACUUCGGGAAACCGGAGCUAAUACCGGAUAAUCUAUUGAACCGCAUGGUUCAAUAGUGAAAGACGGUUUUGCUGUCACUUAUAGAUGGAUCCGCGCCGCAUUAGCUAGUUGGUAAGGUAACGGCUUACCAAGGCAACGAUGCGUAGCCGACCUGAGAGGGUGAUCGGCCACACUGGAACUGAGACACGGUCCAGACUCCUAAGGGAGGCAGCAGUAGGGAAUCUUCCGCAAUGGGCGAAAGCCUGACGGAGCAACGCCGCGUGAGUGAUGAAGGUCUUCGGAUCGUAAAACUCUGUUAUUAGGGAAGAACAAAUGUGUAAGUAACUAUGCACGUCUUGACGGUACCUAAUCAGAAAGCCACGGCUAACUACGUG
rnacentral:rRNA from 1 species